rnacentral:lncRNA from 1 species
GGCUGGCUUGUCGCGAAGUAAAAUGGCGGAUGGGACACAACUCUGGUGAGGUCAAAUAAGUAAAACAGCCUGCUGUCCACAUUGAGCAAUAUCAGACGAUAUUCAGAGUACAGAGACUCCAGGCAUGAUGGAGGAAGCCCUGGCAUCUGUCCCGAUUCCCCACACAGUCACUGUAACCAUUGAUGCUUGCCAGCCGAUGGUAACACCACCUGCACAACUACCUUGUGAAGUGUGUGGAAAGACAUUCGGGCAAAAAGUUCCAGCUCAACCGUCACAUGAAACUACACACGGACGACAAACCACACAAAUGUGACUUCUGUGACAAAGCAUUUUUCUAUGCGAGUAACCUCAACCAACAUCGACGGUCACACACAGGCGAGAAGCCCUACAACUGUGGAGAAUGUGGGAAACGGUUCGCCAAACUGAGCGGCCUAAAAAAUCAUAUAUUUACACACACUGGUCAAAUGGCUAGUGGAAGCGGUCAAGGGAACAUACCCAAAAAAGAAUUCACAUGUAACGUGUGCGGAAGGUCAUUUCCGCAGAAGUACCAAAUGAAGCGCCAUCUAGACAUGCAUAUGGCGGGAAGGUCGGAGAGGUCAUAUAAGUGUCGUGUAUGCGGAGACGUAGCUCCAAACUACCAUGCCUUCAUUGCACACACAAACGUUCAUCUAGUGCCCCCCAAGUACCAACCCAGCUAGGAAGGAAGGAAAGUGGUGCUCCAUCUGUGAGAGAAAUAUUUCUGAUUCUGAACUUGUGGACAAUAAAUGUGAGACCUGUGGAAAGAAAAAAAUCACAAAUGUUACAUGGAAGACUGUUUGAUUCCAGAAUCGUAUGAGAAUCAAACCAUGGAUAUUUGAAGGGACGUAGACUGGAUUUGAUUCUUUCUUCAGGUGUACAUUGAUGAGAUCAUCCUCUAUUGUGAAUCAAGCUUCCAUAUUUUCUCCAAUAGAUGCCCAGGUAUCCAUACAUUUUGUGCAGGCCAUUAACACAGCAUCUGUUUUGUUUUAUGUUUGGACAGUGGCAACUCAGUAGCAAUACCAGAUUUUACUAUCGUACAUUUCGAGGAAACAGCCAUUAAGUGAAGGGAGUAAUCAUUAAAUCAGUGUUUGACACUGACCAAUAUUUGUCAGCGUUCCAAAGGACAAGCACAUAGAAAUAUGUACUGUGUUUUAUCUCAAUUAGGCACAAUGGUCCAAGCCAAAAAAGGGUUUUAAAGGGUAUUUAUUCUGUUUGAUUGGCAUUUUAGAAGUUGAUGAAUAAGAAAGAUAUGAUACUUCAUGGAUAACAACUUCUUUAUUAUCUUAUGAUGUGAUGUUUCAGUAUAGAUUCUUAUACCGUUGUCAAGCAAGAUGUAUUUAUUCAUUGAACAGUUUGAAUGAGAAACCAUCCAAGAAGAGAACCUGUGUAGCAAGUAUGGUUGUAAUGUAUGUUGGUUUUGCUUAAGAAUUUUUGGUCAGUCUAUCACUGAUGUUAAAAAUUGACUAGCAGUUUUCAUAUUUUACUGUUUAUGAAGGAAAUGUCAACUGGGACCAGUAGACCAGUGUUAUUGUUAAACACUGAUCAGAUGUGGAAAAUAAACUGGACGGGAAUCAUUACCAUUAUUCCUUCACAUGUAAUGUAAUGGUGUAACCUGUGUUGAUAGAGGAAAGUUGAAAUAUUUGCAAGAUAUUUUACAUUGUCAAGAAUUCUCACUUGUGUCUGUGACCACUCAUCCAGUGUGAUAGACACGCACACAGAAAUAUAUGCUAUGAUUUAUGAUCACACAGUGGUGAUACCACAGUGUGUAGUGUUACUAUGGUUACCAGUCAGUAUCUGAUCAUUACAUUGGAUGUGAAGCCCCUGCCGUGAUAUUGAUGAAAUAUUGAUGAAAUAUUGCUAAAAGCAGGGUAAAAUCAUACUCACUCACUCAAGAUUGUUUUACACAGCUAUACAUAAGUAUGGAAUUCAGUGGUUUUUUAUUUGAAUCUCUUCAGUGUUUCUAGUUACCCAUAUGGAACAUAUUUGUAUCUAUACAUAAUACAAUAUACUUGUGUGAAAGUUCUGAAACACAAAAAGCCCUUGAACAACCAAUGGAAUAACUAUCCAAAAGAAUUCCAGGAUGUUGAAAACCACUGAUUGUCUGAUACUAUUGCUCCUUCAUUCCCAAUGAUUAUUGAUGCGACAGAUUUUUGUAUUACUACCAUUUAGGUAAACAAGAUGUUUUUAUUGCUUCAUAAGCAAUGCAUAUGGACGUGUACUCGAAACUUUCACAGGUGGUAUGAUCUGUCUUACCAAGUUCCAAUGGGGAGUGUGGAUGACCUUGACAGUUUGUGACCUUUGACAUUGAAAUCCAACUCACCAUGGAGAAUUCAACUAUUAUUAUCACAAACUGGGUUUUUUGGGAUAAAAGUAUGCUAUUUCUUAUUUAUGAAGAGGAAAUAGAUUGGUUCUCAUCUGUGGUAUUAUUUGAAAUGACAAGUCCCUGAAAACAUAUUUUUUUAAGCACACAAGAGUUAUGUCCCUUCGAAUAUCAAACAGUAAUUUUCGUCUGCGGAUGCAAUCAGGGCAAAAUGCUUUGCUUUCCCAAACCAUGGCAGAAACAGGAGUGGAGAAUGACAACGGUUCCAAAUGACACUAGAAUUUGGCAAAUAAGAUUGAAAUGAUGAAAAAUGUAUUGCACAGACAGUUGCCAAGUAUAUUACUUAUAAUAUUGAGGGUAAAUUUUGUAACUUUUGUAAUAAAUGCCUUCACAGUAUACAGAUUAAUCAUACAUUACAAUCAUCAUUCCUUGCAGGACUUUUUUUCAUAAAAUUCCUUAUCUCUGACAUGAGGUAGUGUUUUCUCAAUAACUAUUUGCAUAGUCAUUUGAGGUUAUGCAUAUGGUUGACAUAAUGUUUAUAGGUGGGUAGUCUUAUAGGGUUGUCAUUGUUUGGAAGUGUUAGUAUCAAUUUAUCAAUUCCAAAGUGACCAAAAAAAAUCAAACAGUGAUAAAAAUUAUGUAUUUUGUAUAUUUUUCGCUCGAUACCUAUAGACUGCAAAUAAUCAAGUUAAUGAUCAGUUAAGUGUGUGAAACUGAAUUUCUGCCUUCUCAUUGUCCAUCUUUAUCCAAUAAUCUUAACACAUGUAAAUAUUUCUGUUGCAGAGAAUUCUAAUUUUGGAGUGAUAUUCAUGAAUUUGUGUUGAUUCUUUGCAGUUUCAAUAUCAAAAUAUGUAUAGCAACAUCAAUUUCACUAUAUCCAUGAUAUAAAUGAUGAGAAGCUGAUGGCAAGUUGUGGACCAGAAGUGAUAAAUUGAGCAGGUGUAUCAUGUUAUAUUUUAGACAAACAAUAUUUUUGCAAGAGCAUCUUCAAAAUGGUAAUUUUCAAAACAUGUUUAUAUUUAAGUGCGUGCCCAUGACUGAAAUAUGAUUGUAUAGAGUCGCAUGCUGGUAAGUACCAUUGUAUGAUGGCAGUGUGGAACUAUGUCUGGACAAGACAGUUACCAUGGUUACUGAUGGACGUCAUGAGCAUCUGAGAUACAAUGACAUGCAUUAAACAAGUCAGUAAUCCUCUUUCACGAUAAGCAGGAAGUAGGGUGGAACGCAAUACGUGAUACUUUUUAUGAUACAUAUGGGACUGUAUCCUUAUAUAUGAUGCUUUAAAUUAUGCAUACUUUACUGAAUGAAGGAAUUACCCGACCUAGUUAAACUUGACAUUAAUGACUUUGUCAGUUGCUGUUACAGUGAUGGCUGAUGUGACCGUCAUUAAGUGACUAUUGUUUCUUAAGAAUUAAAAGAACUUUACUGUU